rnacentral:sRNA from 1 species
GUGCUGAUGUUACUGCUGUCAAUGGUGUUAGGAUUGCUCUGUUCGAUUUUUCGGUUGAAAAUUUCUUCAGAGACAUGGAUACCAUUAUCAGACUCUGUGGGCAAGAAGAUGACAUUGCUGCUACUGACCAGAUGGAGAUUCAAAGAAUGUCUUCCUCAGUCACUUUCUUAAGAGAAUGGAGAGAUUUUAAAUAUCCAUCAAAAAGCAUUAAAUUUGUGUAUGGACUCGAGAGUUCUGAUUGUUUUAAGGGAAAAGAUGUCAGUGCCAUAAAUUUGCCCCCGUUUUCUUCUGCCUCGGUUCCUGAGCAAGAUAUGCAAACGGAGC